rnacentral:rRNA from 1 species
CGCGCAGGCGGUCGAAUCAGUCGAAUGGUGAAAAGCCCCCGGCUCAACUGGGGAGGGUCAUUCGAUACUGUUCGACUUGAAGGCAGGAGAGGGGAAGCGGGAAUUCCCGGUGUAGUGGUGAAAUGCGUAGAUAUCGGGAGGAACACCCGUGGCGAAGGCGGCUUUCUGGCCUGUUCUUGACGCUGAGGCGCGAAAGCUAGGGGAGCGAACG